GCUUGCUUUGUCAACACAUAAAUUAAAAUUGAGGCAUACAGAGAAGAUUAGCAUGGCCUCUGGGCAAUGAUGCCAUGCAAAUUUAUGAAGCAAUCCAUUCAAAA